GAUGAACGCUAGCGGCAGGCCUAUUACAUGCAAGUCGAACGGUGUCUUCGGACAUAGUGGCGCACGGGUGCGUAACACGUAUGCAACCUACCUUACAUUGGGGGAUAGCCUUUCGAAAGGGAGAUUAAUACCGCAUAAGACAGUAGCUGGGCAUCCAGCAGCUGUUAAAGAUUUAUCGAUGUAAGCUGGGCAUGCGUCCAAUUAGCUAGUUGGUGAGGUAACGGCUCACCAAGGCAAUGAUUGGUAGGGGAACUGAGAGGUCAAUCCCCCACACUGGCACUGAGAUACGGGCCAGACUCCUACGGGAGGCAGCAGUAGGGAAUAUUGGGCAAUGGACGCAAGUCUGACCCAGCCAUGCCGCGUGCAGGAUGAAGGCGUUAUGCGUUGUAAACUGCUUUUAUACAGGAAGAAACGACUCUUGCGAGAGGCAUUGACGGUACCGUAUGAAUAAGCUCCGGCUAACUCCGUGCCAGCAGCCGCGGUAAGAC
rnacentral:rRNA from 1 species